GACGCCCGCUUUCUUCUUUCUUAACACAUGCAAGUCGAACGGUGAAGCGCCUUCCUUUUUGGUGGGUGUGGAUGAGUGGCGAACGGGUGAGUAACUCGUGAGUAACCUGCCCCCUUCUUCUGGAUAACCGCAUGAAAGUGUGGCUAAUACGGGAUAUUCUGGGUCUGUCGCAUGAUGGGUCUGGGAAAGAUAUUGUUUCGGUGGGGGAUGGGCUCGCGGCCUAUCAGCUUGUUGGUGGGGUGAUGGCCUACCAAGGCGGUGACGGGUAGCCGGCCUGAGAGGGUGGACGGUCACACUGGGACUGAGACACGGCGCAGACUCCUACGGGAGGCAGCAGUGGGGAAUAUUGCACAAUGGGCGCAAGCCUGAUGCAGCGACGCCGCGUGAGGGAUGGAGGCCUUCGGGUUGUGAACCUCUUUCGCCAGUGAAGCAGGCCUGCCUCGUUUGUGGGUGGGUUGACGGUAGCUGGAUAAGAAGCGCCGGCUAACUACGUG
rnacentral:rRNA from 1 species